CCUACGGGUGGCAGCAGUGGGGAAUAUUGGGCAAUGGGCGCAAGCCUGACCCAGUAACGCCGCGUGAAGGAAGAAGGCUCUCGGGUUGUAAACUUCUUUUCUCAGGGACGAAGAAAGUGACGGUACCUGUGUAAUAAGCCUCCGCUAACUAUGUGCGCGCAGCCGCUGUAAUCCGUCGGUGGCAAGCGGUCUACGGAUUUACUGGGUGUAAAGGGCGUGUAGGGGGGUAAGCAAGUUAGAUGUGAAAACAAUGGGCUCAACCUGUGGCCUGCAUUUGACACUGGUUUUCUUGAGUACUGGAGAGGCAGACGGAAUUCCUAGUGUAGCGGUGAAAUGCGUAGAUAUGAGGAAGAACACCAGUGGCGAAGGCAGCCUGCUGGACAACAACUGACGCUGAGGCGCGAAAGCGUGGGGAGCAAACAGGAUUAGAUACCCUAGUAGUC
rnacentral:rRNA from 1 species